rnacentral:rRNA from 1 species
UACGAAGGGGGCUAGCGUUGCUCGGAAUCACUGGGCGUAAAGCGCACGUAGGCGGACUCUUAAGUCGGUGGUGAAAUCCUGGAGCUCAACUCCAGAACUGCCUUCGAUACUGAGAGUCUCGAGUCCGGGAGAGGUGAGUGGAACUGCGAGUGUAGAGGUGAAAUUCGUAGAUAUUCGCAAGAACACCAGUGGCGAAGGCGGCUCCCUGGCCCGGUACUGACGCUGAGGUGCGAAAGCGUGGGGAGCAAACAGG